rnacentral:tRNA from 1 species
CAUUGUUAGUAUUAUUCAUAGUUUACAUUUAUGAUGAAUUUGUCAAUGA